AAGGCCUGAUGUGUGUGAGAUUACCCGCUGAAUUUAAGCAUAUAAGUAAGCGGAGGAAAGAACUAACUAGGAUUCCCUUAGUAAUGGCGAAUGACAGGA
rnacentral:ncRNA from 1 species